GAGGGUAGAGCUCAGUGGGAGAGUGUAUGCUUAGCAUGCAUGAGGUCCUGGUCUCAAUCCCUGGUACCUCCA
rnacentral:tRNA from 1 species